rnacentral:lncRNA from 1 species
UUGUGUUUAUUACCUACUAUUUUUUUUAUUACCUACCAUUUUUUUUAUCACCUACCAUUUUUUUUAUCACCUACCAUUUUUUUUAUCAUCUACCAUUUUUUUUAUCAUCUACCAUUUUUUUUAUCACCUACCAUUUUUUUUAUCAUCUACCAUUUUUUUUAUCACCUACCAUUUUUUUUAUCACCUACCAUUUUUUUUAUCACCUACCAUUUUUUUUAUCACCUACCAUUUUUUUUAUCACCUAUCAUUUUUUUUAUCACCUACCAUUUUUUUUAUCACCUACCAUUUUUUUUAUCACCUACCAUUUUUUUUAUCACCUACCAUUUUUUUUAUCACCUACCAUUUUUUUUAUCACCUACCAUUUUUUUUUUUUUUUUUUAUUUUUUUUUUUUUUUCAGAGUAGCUUUUUAUAUGAUCAAUGAAAUAUACACUAAUUUCACGCAUACUAUACCUAUGAACGAAUGGUCAGAAGUAAAACAAGACAACAUAAUAAAUUUUAACUUAAAUUCGUUUUUGGAAAAAUAUAUGGAUCCUUUGACAUAUGAUGCCAUAGCUCAGACAAAUAUAAAAAUUAAUGAAAGCAUGGAAAAUGUCAGAGUAACUAUGGAUACGCUAAUCCGGAAUAAAGAAAAUUUAGACGUUUUAGUUGAUAAAAGUAAAGAUCUGUCGAGUAAGUAUUAAUUGUUUUUACUAAUUUAUUUGUAUAUAUAUAUAUAUAUAUAUAUGUGUAUAUAGGAAUAUACCAUUAUAAUACUUAUACACAUGACGUUAUAUUUUUACAUUUUAUUUAUGCGGU